UACGGGGGGGGCGAGCGUUGUUCGGAAUUAUUGGGCGUAAAGGGCGCGUAGGCGGUGUGGUAAGUCUGUUGUGAAACCUCCAGGCUCAACUUGGAGCUUGCAUCAGAAACUGCCGUGCUAGAGUGUGGGAGAGGAGAGUGGAAUUCCUGGUGUAGCGGUGAAAUGCGUAGAUAUCUGGAGGAACACCGGUGGCGAAGGCGGCGUCCUGGACCAACACUGACACUGAUGAGCGAAAGCCAGGGGAGCAAACGGG
rnacentral:rRNA from 1 species